GACGAACGCUGGCGGCGUGCUUAACACAUGCAAGUCGAACGGAAAGGCCCUGCUUUUGUGGGGUGCUCGAGUGGCGAACGGGUGAGUAACACGUGAGUAACCUGCCCUUGACUUUGGGAUAACUUCAGGAAACUGGGGCUAAUACCGGAUAGGAGCUCCUGCUGCAUGGUGGGGGUUGGAAAGUUUCGGCGGUUGGGGAUGGACUCGCGGCUUAUCAACUUGUUGGUGGGGUAGUGGCUUACCAAGGCUUUGACGGGUAGCCGGCCUGAGAGGGUGACCGGCCACAUUGGGACUGAGAUACGGCCCAGACGCGUACGGGAGGCAGCAGUGGGGAAUAUUGCACAAUGGGCGGAAGCCUGAUGCAGCAACGCCGCGUGCGGGAUGACGGCCUUCGGGUUGUAAACCGCUUUCGCCUGUGACGAAGCGUGAGUGACGGUAAUGGGUAAAGAAGCACCGGCUAACUACGUG
rnacentral:rRNA from 1 species